GAUGAACGCUGGCGGCGUGCCUAAUACAUGCAAGUCGAGCGAACGGACGAGAAGCUUGCUUUUCUGAUGUUAGCGGCGGACGGGUGAGUAACACGUGGAUAACCUACCUAUAAGACUGGGAUAACUUCGGGAAACCGGAGCUAAUACCGGAUAAUAUUUUGAACCGCAUGGUUCAUAAGUGAAAGACGGUCUUGCUGUCACUUAUAGAUGGAUCCGCGCUGCAUUAGCUAGUUGGUAAGGUAACGGCUUACCAAGGCAACGAUGCAUAGCCGACCUGAGAGGGUGAUCGGCCACACUGGAACUGAGACACGGUCCAGACUCCUACGGGAGGCAGCAGUAGGGAAUCUUACGCAAUGGGCGAAAGCCUGACGGAGCAACGCCGCGUGAGUGAUGAAGGUCUUCGGAUCGUAAAACUCUGUUAUUAGGGAAGAACAUAUGUGUAAGUAACUGUGCACAUCUUGACGGUACCUAAUCAGAAAGCCACGGCUAACUACGUG
rnacentral:rRNA from 1 species